rnacentral:rRNA from 1 species
ACGCUCGACACCUACGGGAGUAGCAGUAGGGAAUCUUCCACAAUGGGCGCAAGCCUGAUGGAGCAACACCGCGUGAGUGAAGAAGGGUUUCGGCUCGUAAAGCUCUGUUGUUGGAGAAGAACGUGCGUGAGAGUAACUGUUCACGCAGUGACGGUAUCCAACCAGAAAGUCACGGCUAACUACGUGCCAGCAGCCGCGGUAAUCUGAGCGGGCUGGCAAGGC